AACAGAGCACAACAGGAAUUCACAGGAGAUACUCCUUGCUAAGUUGAGCAUUAUAGAAUAUCCACACAUACGACACCAAGAAUCAAACUAUGCAGGACCGAUUCUUCAUGGCGAACGAGAAAUAUGAUCGAUGUUAAACAUUUAAUUCCGGAAUUACAUGUGUAUGGACACUAAA